AUUUUUUAGAGAUGAUUAAAAAUGAGUCCUGCUCAAUGUAAAAUAAAUAGCCGCGGUAUUUUGACCGUGCAAAGGUAGCAUAAUAAUUAGUCUUAUAAUUUGAGACUGGAAUGAAGGGAUAAACUAGGAAGUUUCUUUCUUGGCUUCUUUUUUUGAAUUUUACUUUUUAGUAAAAAGGCUAAAAUAUUUCUUUUAGACAAGAAGACCCUAUAAAACUUUACAUAUAAUAGUUUAGAAAACUAAAAAUAUGUUUCACUGGGGCGGUGGGAAGAAGAAACACUUUCAGAAUACUAAAAUAGAACUAUUUUAAUACCCAAAAAUUUUGAAGAUUAAAUAAGUUACUUUAGGGAUAACAGCGUAAUGUGCUUUGAAAGUUCAAAUUGACAAGCAUGUUUGCGACCUCGAUGUUGGAUUAAACUUCCUCUGUUCCGCAAGAGGAACAAAUGGGGGUCUGUUCGACCCAUAAGAGUUUCCA
rnacentral:rRNA from 1 species